rnacentral:rRNA from 1 species
AUGGCGAGGCCGGCGAGGCGACGCGUCGUGGAGGAGGAGGAGGAGGAGGAGGAGGAGGAGGAGUCCUCCGGCGAGGAGCAGCAGGACCAGUCCGACGCCGGCGGCUCCGGAUCCGGCGAGGAGGAGGGGGGAGGCGGCGAGGCGGAGGAGGAGGUGGACGAGGACGAGAUCGAGGCCGUCACCACCGGCGCGGGCGCCGACGACGAGGAAGAGGAGGAGGACGGCGGCGAAGAGGACGAGGAGGAGGAGCCGGAGUCCGACGACGACGACGACGAGGCCGAAGACCCUGCUGGAAUUCCAGAGGUAGGGAAGCAGGAACGAGCCAGGCUCAAACAACUUCAGAAACUGAAGAAGCAGAAGAUCCAGGAGAUAUUACAGACCCAGAAUGCUGCCAUUGAUGCUGACAUGAACAAGAAAGGGAAAGGGCGACUGAAGUACCUACUGCAGCAGACAGAAGUAUUUGCCCACUUUGCAGAAGGAAGCCAGGCUAAAGAGAAGAAGCCACGUGGAAGGGGACGCCCUUCCUCAAAGAGGAGGGCAGAAGAGGAGGAUGAUGAAGAGUACCUCGAAGAGGAGGAAGAUGCACUUGCUAGUUCAGUCGGAACACACUUGCUUGUGCAGCCAUCAUGCAUAAAUGGACAAAUGCGAGAUUAUCAACUAGCUGGGCUUAAUUGGCUAAUACGGCUGUAUGAUAACGGCAUUAAUGGAAUAUUGGCUGAUGAGAUGGGUCUUGGGAAAACUCUUCAAACUAUUUCACUGAUGGGCUAUCUGCAUGAAUUCAGAGGAAUAACUGGUCCUCACAUGGUUGUUGCGCCAAAGUCUACUCUUGGUAACUGGAUGAACGAAAUUGCCCGUUUUUGUCCCAUUCUGCGUGCUGUGAAAUUCUUGGGAAAUCCAGAAGAGAGGAAUCAUAUAAGGGAGAAAUUGCUACAGCCAGGAAAAUUCGAUGUGUGUGUGACCAGUUUUGAAAUGGCAAUCAAAGAAAAAAAUGCAUUGAAGCGUUUCAGUUGGCGCUACAUUAUUAUUGAUGAAGCUCAUCGGAUAAAAAAUGAAAACUCUCUUCUGUCUAAGACGAUGAGGCUUUUUAGCACUAACUAUCGUCUACUCAUCACAGGCACUCCACUCCAGAACAAUCUCCACGAGCUUUGGUCUCUACUCAAUUUCUUGCUGCCUGAGAUAUUUAGUUCUGCAGAGACCUUUGAUGAGUGGUUCCAAAUUACUGGUGAAACUGAUCAACAGGAGGUUGUUCAGCAGCUUCAUAAGGUUCUUCGCCCAUUUCUUCUCCGGAGGCUUAAAUCUGAUGUCGAAAAGGGUUUACCUCCAAAGAAAGAAAUUAUCCUUAAAGUUGGGAUGUCUCAGAUGCAAAAGCAGUACUAUCGAGGUCUGCUUCAGAAAGAUUUGGAGGUUAUUAAUGCUGGUGGUGAGCGUAAAAGGUUGCUUAACAUAGCUAUGCAGUUACGAAAGUGCUGCAACCAUCCAUAUUUAUUCCAAGGGGCAGAACCGGGCCCACCUUACACAACUGGUGACCAUCUUAUUGAGACCGCAGGGAAAAUGGUUCUGUUAGAUAAAUUGCUGCCCAAAUUAAAGGACCGUGACUCCAGAGUGCUUAUUUUCUCACAGAUGACCAGGCUUUUGGAUAUCUUGGAAGAUUAUCUUAUGUACAGAGGGUAUCAAUAUUGCCGAAUAGAUGGAAGUACAGGUGGAGAAGAUCGUGAUGCAUCCAUUGAUGCAUUUAACAAACCAGGAAGUGAGAAGUUUGUUUUCUUGCUUUCAACCAGGGCUGGUGGACUUGGUAUCAACCUUGCCACUGCUGAUGUUGUGAUUCUUUAUGAUAGUGAUUGGAAUCCACAAGCUGAUCUUCAAGCUCAAGACCGCGCGCAUAGGAUAGGUCAAAAGAAAGAAGUUCAAGUUUUCCGAUUUUGCACCGAGUAUACCAUUGAGGAAAAAGUGAUUGAGAGAGCGUACAAGAAGCUUGCAUUGGAUGCUUUGGUUAUUCAACAAGGACGAUUGUCAGGGCAGAAAACUGUCAAUAAGGAUGACUUAUUGCAAAUGGUUAGAUAUGGUGCGGAAAUGGUGUUCAGUUCCAAGGAUAGCACAAUAACAGAUGAGGAUGUUGACAGAAUUAUAGCUAAAGGAGAAGAGACAAAAGCAGCGCUGGAUGCAAAGAUGAAAAAAUUCACAGAGGAUGCCAUUAAGUUUAAAAUGGAUGACACUGCUGAAUUGUAUGAUUUUGAUGGUGACAAGGAGGAAAACGAGGCUGAUUUUAAGAAAAUUGUUGCUGAGAAUUUGGUGGUCGAGCUACCUAGGAGAGAAAGGAUAAGGAAUUACAAUGAGUCUGAAUACUUCAAGCAAGCACUUCGCCAAGCAGCACCAGCUAAACCCAAGGAACUACGGAUUCCAAAAAUGCCAACUUUGCAUGAUUUCCAGUUCUUCAACAGUCAAAGGCUAAAUGAGUUGUAUGAAAAGGAAGUCCGACACCUCGUGCAAACCAACCAGAAGAAAGAUACCAUUGAUGGUGAAGAUGAAGGUACUGAUCAGGUGGAGCCUUUUACUGCAGAGGAGCUGGAGGAGAAGCAGCGGUUAUUGGAAGCGGGUUUUCCAACAUGGACUAAGAGAGACUUCAACACAUUUAUUCGUGCUUGUGAGAAAUAUGGUCGUAAUGACAUAAAGGGUAUAUCCUCUGAAAUGGAAGGGAAAACAGAAGAAGAGGUUCAACGAUAUGCUGAAGUUUUCAAGGAGAGAUACAAGGAACUGAGUGAUUAUGAUAGAAUUAUCAAAAACAUCGAAAGGGGUGAGGCAAGGAUAACUCGCAAGGAUGAGAUUAUGACAGCCAUUGGGAAGAAGUUGGACCGCUAUAAGAACCCAUGGUUAGAGCUGAAAGUUCAGUAUGGCACAAACAAAGGGAAGUUCUAUAACGAGGAAUGCGACCGUUUUAUGCUAUGCAUGGCGCACAAGCUUGGUUACGGGAAGUGGGAUGAACUUAGAUCUGCCUUCCGCAAGUCACCCUUGUUCCGAUUCGACUGGUUUGUGAAGGCAAGAAGUGCCCAAGAGCUGGCUAGGCGGUGCGACACGCUUGUCCGUCUAGUUGAGAAAGAGAAUCAAGAACACGAUGAGCGAGAAAGGCAGGCACGGAAGGAGAAAAGGCUUGCUAAGAAGAUGACACCAACGAAGCAAAAGAUGACACCAACAAAGCAGAAGAUGACGCCAACAAAGCAAGCUGCAUCAAGGGUUCCAGACGGCGAGACGGCUCCAGCGAAUCCAUCCAAGAAGAAUAAGACACCAACAAAGCAGAAAAUGACACCUACAAAGCGGGCUGGUGAGACGGCUCCAGCGCCCUCAUCCAAGAAGCGGCGGCAGUCCCUUAUGGACGAUUUCCUGGGCUCGGGAAAGAAGGGGAAGGUGUAA